rnacentral:rRNA from 1 species
AUGGCGAUGGUCCUGGAUGCCUUUGCAUCCUAUGUGCAAGACAUGCUGGCCGAGAUGGCAAAAGAAGAGGUGCACAUGCUCCUUGGAGUAGGAGAUGAGAUUGACAAGAUGGAUGUCAAGCUUGGGGAUCUCAAGAACUUCCUCGCUGACGCUGAUAGGAAAAACAUCACUGAAGUGAGUGUGCAAGAGUGGGUGGCGCAGCUCAAGCGCAUCAUGUACGAAGCUGCCGACAUCCUCGACCUCUGCCAACUCAAGGCCAUGGAGCGUGGUCCAUCCACCAUAGAUGUUGGGUGCUUCAACCCCUUGCUCUUUUGCCUGCGGAAUCCCCAUCAUGCACAUGUAAUUGGUAGCCGCAUCAAGGUGCUCAACAAGAAACUCGAUAGCAUCUACGAGCGCAUCGGUCCUUUAAAGCUUAUUAAUCUCAGUUCAUUUGAAGACCGUCGCAGCAAGGAGCAAGCUUCUCAUUCUGGUAAUCCCAGACGUGAGACAGGUGGGGAGUUUAACCGGUCCGGUUUAGUUGGGGAGAAGAUCGAAGAAGACACAAGAAAGCUGGUUGAGAUCAUGCUGACAGAAAAAGAAAGUAACAACAACAUCAUGGUGGUUGCGAUCGUUGGCGUCGGCGGGAUCGGUAAGACUACUCUUGCCCAGAAGAUCUUUAAUGACGAAAAUAUAAACUCCAACUUCGACAAGACAAUAUGGUUAAGCAUCAACCAGGACUUUGACAAGGUCGAGCUCCUCAAGACAAUCAUCACCCUCUCUGGGGGAGUACAUGGUGGUGAAACGGCGUUGGCUGUGCUUCAGCCAAUCCUUACCGCUACCUUGAAAGGGAAGAAGCUAUUGUUGGUUCUUGAUGAUGUGUGGAGCCACAGAGCAUGGGGCGAUGUGCUUGAAACACUUGUAUCUAAUGUUGUGGCUCGAGGUAGCCGAGUCCUUGUCACUACUAGAGAUGAAAGAGUAGCUCGAGGGAUGAAAGCUGAGCUUCCCUACCACCAUGUCGACAAAUUAGAGGAGGAGGAUGCCUGGUCAUUGCUGAAGAAACAGAUAGUCUCAAGUGAGACAGAUGUAUCUGAGAUUGAUAUGCUCAAGGAUAUUGGCUUGCAAAUUGUAGCAAAAUGUGAUGGAUUGCCUCUUGCUCUCAAAGUAAUGGGAGGACUCUUGUGUCAAAAGGAUAAUCAGCACCAUGACUGGAAGAUGGUUCUGGAUGAUUCUAUAUGGUCAGUAUCGGGAAUGCCUGAAGAGCUAAACCAUGCAGUAUAUUUAAGCUAUGAAGAUUUACCUUCUUGCAUCAAACAAUGCUUUCUAUGGUACUCCCUUCUCCCUAAAUCUGGAACAUUUCUAAGAGACGACAUAAUUGGCAUGUGGAUUAGUGAAGGAUUCCUUCAUGGACCCUCAGACAACUUAGAAGAAUUAGGAAUAAAGUAUUAUAAGGAGCUAAUACAAAGGAACCUUAUAGAGCCAGAUUCAAAGUACAUCGAUCAAUUAUUUUGCAACAUGCAUGAUGUCGUUCGGUCAUUUGCUCAAUUUGUUGCCAGAGAUGAGGCACUAGCAGCUCACAGUGAAACUAAUAUUGUUAGUAAACUUAGUGCACAAAAGUUUCUCCGGCUGUCACUAGAAAGCAAAGCAUUAGAAUCAAAGGGGUUGGGUUGGAGUUCUUUACAAGCACAGAACACAUUGAGAACGCUAAUAUCAGUUGGCUAUACAAUGAGGAAGCCGGGUGCUUCAUUGGUUAAUUAUUUUCCAUGUCUACGGACUCUACAUGUAGAGUCUGCACAUGUUAUGUUGGUUGAGUCUUUGCAUAAAUUCAAGCACCUGAGGUACCUGUCCUUAGACCAAUCUGAUAUAUGUAGACUGCCAGAAAGCAUUGGAAAAAUGAAAUUCUUGCAGCACAUUAGCCUUAGAGGAUGCCAACAAUUUGUGGAACUUCCACAUAGCAUUGUAAAGUUAGGGCAGCUAAGGUACCUUAACCUACAUGAAACAAGUAUAAGUGCCAUACCUAGGGGGUUCUGUGUUCUGACAAAUCUGAGGAAAGUAAAUGGGUUUCCGGCUUGGGUGGAUGGUGACUGGUGCAGCUUAGAAGAGUUGGGUUCUCUUUCUCGGCUUAGGUAUCUCGAAAUACAAGGGUUGGAGAAUGUAACUGCUUCCUCGCUCGCAACAAAGGCGAAGCUUGUUGAGAAGGCACAUCUUACCAACCUAUGCUUAACCUGCGGUAGUAAAUUCGGGGACGUCUUCCCCGAGGAAGAGAGCCAACGAAUCAAGAAUGUGUUUGAUGAGCUUUGCCCUCCGCCAAACUUGAGUUUUCUUGCCAUCGAAGGCUAUUUUGGCCGAUGGCACCCAAGGUGGAUGAUGUCAUCAUCAGAUGUACCCCUCAAGAGCUUGAGGAUUCUGAUGGUUGAAGAUCUGGCUUGGUGCACAGAACUUCCUGAUGGCUUGUGUCAGCUCCCAUGUUUAGAGUUCCUUCAGAUUUACCAUGCCCCAGCCAUCAAGCGUGUUGGACAUGAGUUCCUACUGUCCUACCAUGGCCAGAAUCCUUAUCCUUCUCAGGCGGUGGUUUCAUUUCUGAGAUUGCACACGAUGAAGUUAAUGCGAAUGGUGGAAUGGGAGGAGUGGAAGUGGGAGGACCAAAUGCAAGCCUUUCCUUCCUUGAAGGAGCUUAUUCUGUUUGAAUGCAAAUUGAGUUGUCUUCCUCCUGGCCUUGCCUCCCAUGCAAGGGCUUUGAAUGUACUAUCCUUACAACAGGUCGAGGGUCUCAUCUCUGUAGAGAACAUUACUUCCCUUAUUGAGCUGCAAGUGAUUGAGAACUUUGACUUGGAGAGGAUCACUAAUCUCCCCAGGCUGCAGAAGCUUACCGUCACCCAUUGCCCAAAGUUGAAGGUGCUGGAGGGUGUUCCUGCAUUACAGAGGCUGAUGCUCGAAGAUGACGACAUGGAAACACUCCCAGAAUACAUGGGAAGUAUAAACCCAAGGCGUUUGGAGCUCUACUGCAUCCUGUCACUGCUUGCUUCCAUGGCCAUGGCACAAUCUAGCCCUGAGUGGGACAAGUUUAGCCAUAUUGAGCAUGUCAAGGUAUAUGCACGUGAAGGAGAUAAACCAAGGAAAUGGUAUGUCUUGUACACAGCUAACCCAUACAACUUGGAGGCAAAUAUCAACAACCACUCUUUCAUGUCGAGAGGAACCUUGACUUCUUUUGAGGAUGCACAAAGAUUUGAGUCUCUCUUCAAAAUGAUGAAAAAAACCUUUAGCUACAUCUGCAGCUUGGUGAUGGGGCCGUCAAUGGAAGAUAUGAACAGCUACACCUUUGUUGACGGGAGGGUGCUGUCUUUAAAAGAUCGGGUAGCCAUUGCUCUUAGAAGGUUGCAGUCCAGUGAGCCAACAGAGAGCAUAGCAUCCUCUGUUGGUGUGAACGAGUCAAUCAUCUUGUUGGUAACUGAGAGGUUCAUUGAAGCUAUGUGGGAGCAGGCAGACCACCACUUGAGAUGGCCAGACUCCAGCGAAAUGGAUAAGAUCAAAUCCAAGUUUGACAAGAUCCACAAUAUGCAUAACUGUUGCGGGGUAAUAUGUACAACGCACAUCCCAUUUGGACCAAACUGCCACCAUGACAAGAAUGAUAGCAUUUAG